rnacentral:rRNA from 1 species
GACGAACCGUGCGAACGUUAUUCGGAAUCACUGGGCUUAAAGGGUGCGUAGGCUGCGAGGAGGGUGGGGUGUGGAAUCCCUCGGCUUAACCGAGGAAUUGCGCUCCAAACCGCCUUGCUGGAGUGAGACAGAGGUGAGCGGAACUAAUGGUGGAGCGGUGAAAUGCGUUGAUAUCAUUAGGAACACCAGAGGCGAAGGCGGCUCACUGGGUCUCAACUGACGCUGAUGCACGAAAGCUAGGGUAGCGAACGGG